UUCUCUACCAUGUUAUUCUAUUGUUAUCAACCCAUCUAACCCAUAGUCAACGAGCUAUACUUGAUGAGUAGUGGACAACAAUAAUUAAGAUAGGUGUUAUGCAUGAGCACAUGCUCACUGCCUACGACAUGUUGAUUCAUCUACAAGUGUUAUGAGAUCAUCAAAGUCACACAGCACAUGUGAUGCGUGAUGGACAAUCAGUUAA
rnacentral:lncRNA from 1 species